ensembl:misc_RNA Metazoa_SRP Metazoan signal recognition particle RNA
GCCGGGCAUGAUAGCUCAUGCCUGUAAUCCCAGCACUUUGGGAGGCCAAGGCGGGUGGAUCACCUGAGGUCAGGAGUUCAAGACCAGCCUGGCCAACAUGGUGAAACCCCGUCUCUA